rnacentral:rRNA from 1 species
UACGGAGGGGGCUAGCGUUGUUCGGAAUUACUGGGCGUAAAGCGCACGUAGGCGGCUUUGUAAGUUAGAGGUGAAAGCCCGGGGCUCAACCCCGGAAUAGCCUUUGAAACUGCAUCGCUAGAAUUGUGGAGAGGUAAGUGGAAUUCCGAGUGUAGAGGUGAAAUUCGUAGAUAUUCGGAAGAACACCAGUGGCGAAGGCGACUUACUGGACACAUAUUGACGCUGAGGUGCGAAAGCGUGGGGAGCAAACAGG